GUCAGGUGGAGCAGGAGCUUGAUCUCGCUGGGGGCGAGGGGGACGCGUUCGCCGUUCUUGGCGACGGUCAGACC
rnacentral:tRNA from 2 species